UAGCGUAGGGUGCAAGCGUUAAUCGGAAUUACUGGGCGUAAAGCGUGCGCAGGCGGUUCUAUAAGACAGAUGUGAAAGCCCCGGGCUCAACCCGGGAAGUGCACCCGAAACUGCAGGGCUCGAGUACCGGAGAGGUUGGUGGAAUUCUCGGUGUAGAGGUGAAAUUCGUAGAUAUCGAGAGGAACACCGGUGGCGAAGGCGGCCAACUGGACGAGUACUGACGCUGAGACACGAAAGCGUGGGGAGCAAACAGG
rnacentral:rRNA from 1 species